GACAGAGGGUGCAAACGUUGUUCGGAAUUACUGGGCGUAAAGCGCGUGUAGGCGGCCGUGCAAGUCAGGUGUGAAAUCCCCGGGCUCAACCCGGGAAUUGCACUUGAAACUGCUCGGCUUGAGUACCGGAGAGGAUAGUGGAAUUCCUGGUGUAGAGGUGAAAUUCGUAGAUAUCAGGAGGAACACCGGUGGCGAAGGCGGCUAUCUGGACGGUCACUGACGCUGAGAUGCGAAAGCGUGGGGAGCAAACAGG
rnacentral:rRNA from 1 species